rnacentral:rRNA from 1 species
UACGAAGGGGGCGAGCGUUGUUCGGAUUUACUGGGCGUAAAGGGCGCGCAGGCGGUUUGUCGCGUCUGCUGUGAAAACCCGAGGCUCAACCUCGGGCCUGCAGUGGGUACGGGCAGACUAGAGUGCGGUAGGGGAGAUUGGAAUUCCUGGUGUAGCGGUGGAAUGCGCAGAUAUCAGGAGGAACACCAAUGGCGAAGGCAGAUCUCUGGGCCGUAACUGACGCUGAGGAGCGAAAGCAUGGGGAGCGAACAGG